UAUAGAAACCGCCGCUAGUUUAAUAUAAUCGCACAUUAAUUGAUUUUAGCUCUUCGCCAUUUCAGUUUUCAAAAAAAAAAAAAAACAAAAGCUCUUCGCCAUUUCACCUGCACUGACUGUUCACCGCACUACACCAUUUCAUUAUCCCCGCACGUCACUGAAUCCAAGUGUUCUUCCGUCAAUUGCUCGAUCACUUCACCGCGCCUCGGUUUUAGCUCAAGGAAGUCUCCGACAAUUGCCCUAACCUCACUUCACCGCUCCGUUCCGUCAAUUUUAGGCUGUGGUGAGAGAGACGUGUAAUAGCUGUGAGGAAGCCUCAGGAUUUCCAGAAGGGAAAAAAAAAGCACCGUUUGUAAAAGGAAAAGCCACGACGAAGGUGGUAUCUCUUUCCAAAGACAGGUAUGCCAAGAUCAAAAAGGUUCAUGGAUAUGAGUCGGUCAAUGUCUCAUCAACAAUCUUCUUCAUCAACACACGAGCAAUUGUUGAAUGAUGCACCACUUGAAGAACAAACUCAGGAUAAUGAAACACCUCAAGAGCAAACUCAAGAUAGUGAAACACGACAAGAUCAAAAUGAAGAUUUGCCAUCUUCGGGAAAACAAGGAUUUCGUGGGAAGUUGAUGUGAUUAAUGAAGAAGGAUUUGUGAAGGAAAAAAAAAAAUGAAAGUUAAAGAAGUUUGGACACUUCCAUUGGGUGAAAAAGUCAUAGUCCCAUUUGUCAACUUUGAUACACCAUUCACUGAAGCAUCA